AUUGAACGCUGGCGGCAUGCCUUACACAUGCAAGUCGAACGGCAGCACGGGAGCAAUCCUGGUGGCGAGUGGCGAACGGGUGAGUAAAGUAUCGGAACGUACCUUUCAGUGGGGGAUAACGUAGCGAAAGUUACGCUAAUACCGCAUAUUCUGUGAGCAGGAAAGCAGGGGAUCGCAAGACCUUGCGCUGAUUGAGCGGCCGAUAUCAGAUUAGCUAGUUGGUGGGGUAAAGGCCUACCAAGGCGACGAUCUGUAGCGGGUCUGAGAGGAUGAUCCGCCACACUGGAACUGAGACACGGUCCAGACUCCUACGGGAGGCAGCAGUGGGGAAUUUUGGACAAUGGGGGCAACCCUGAUCCAGCCAUGCCGCGUGAGU
rnacentral:rRNA from 1 species